rnacentral:rRNA from 1 species
CCUACGGGAGGCAGCAGUGAGGAAUAUUGGUCAAUGGACGAGAGUCUGAACCAGCCAAGUAGCGUGAAGGAUGACUGCCCUAUGGGUUGUAAACUUCUUUUAUAUGGGAAUAAAAUGUUCCACGUGUGGGAUUUUGUAUGUACCAUAUGAAUAAGGAUCGGCUAACUUCGUGCCAGCAGCCGCGGUAAUACGGAGGAUCCGAGCGUUAUCCGGAUUUAUUGGGUUUAAAGGGAGCGUAGGUGGAUUGUUAAGUCAGUUGUGAAAGUUUGCGGCUCAACCGUAAAAUUGCAGUUGAAACUGGCAGUCUUGAGUACAGUAGAGGUGGGCGGAAUUCGUGGUGUAGCGGUGAAAUGCUUAGAUAUCACGAAGAACUCCGAUUGCGAAGGCAGUUCACUGGACUGCAACUGACACUGACGCUCGAAAGUGUGGGUAUCAAACAGGAUUAGAUACCCCUGUAGUC